rnacentral:rRNA from 1 species
GUUUAUUUGAUAGUACCUUACUACAUGGAUACCUGUGGUAAUUCUAGAGCUAAUACAUGCUGAAAACCUCGACUUCGGAAGGGGUGUAUUUAUUAGAUAAAAAACCAAUGCCCUUCGGGGCUCCUUGGUGAAUCAUAAUAACUUAACGAAUCGCAUGGCCUUGCGCCGGCGAUGGUUCAUUCAAAUUUCUGCCCUAUCAACUUUCGAUGGUAGGAUAGUGGCCUACCAUGGUGGCAACGGGUAACGGGGAAUUAGGGUUCGAUUCCGGAGAGGGAGCCUGAGAAACGGCUACCACAUCCAAGGAAGGCAGCAGGCGCGCAAAUUACCCAAUCCCGACACGGGGAGGUAGUGACAAUAAAUACUGAUACGGGGCUCUUUUGGGUCUCGUAAUUGGAAUGAGUACAAUCUAAAUCCCUUAACGAGGAACAAUUGGAGGGCAAGUCUGGUGCCAGCAGCCGCGGUAAUUCCAGCUCCAAUAGCGUAUAUUAAAGUUGUUGCAGUUAAAAAGCUCGUAGUUGAACCUUGGGUCUGGCUGGCCGGUCCGCCUCACCGCGAGUACUGGUCCGGCUGGACCUUUCCUUCUGGGGAAUCUCAUGGCCUUCACUGGCUGUGGGGGGAACCAGGACUUUUACUGUGAAAAAAAUUAGAGUGUUCAAAGCAGGCCUUUGCUCGAAUACAUUAGCAUGGAAUAAUAGAAUAGGACGUGCGGUUCUAUUUGUUGGUUUCUAAGGACCGCCGUAAAUGAUUAAUAGGGAUAGUCGG